AGAGUUUGAUCAUGGCUCAGAUUGAACGCUGGCGGCAGGCCUAACACAUGCAAGUCGAACGGUAACAGGAAGCAGCUUGCUGCUUCGCUGACGAGUGGCGGACGGGUGAGUAAUGUCUGGGAAGCUGCCUGAUGGAGGGGGAUAACCACUGGAAACGGUAGCUAAUACCGCAUAAUGUCGCAAGACCAAAGAGGGGGACCUUCGGGCCUCUUGCCAUCGGAUGUGCCCAGAUGGGAUUAGCUUGUUGGUGGGGUAACGGCUCACCAAGGCGACGAUCCCUAGCUGGUCUGAGAGGAUGACCAGCCACACUGGAACUGAGACACGGUCCAGACUCCUACGGGAGGCAGCAGUGGGGAAUAUUGCACAAUGGGCGCAAGCCUGAUGCAGCCAUGCCGCGUGUACGAAGAAGGCCUUCGGGUUGUAAAGUACUUUCAGCGGGGAGGAAGGGAGUAAAGUUAAUACCUUUGCUCAUUGACGUUACCCGCAGAAGAAGCACCGGCUAACUCCGUGCCAGCAGCCGCGGUAAUACGGAGGGUGCAAGCGUUAAUCGGAAUUACUGGGCGUAAAGCGCACGCAGGCGGUUUGUUAAGUCAGAUGUGAAAUCCCCGGGCUCAACCUGGGAACUGCAUCUGAUACUGGCAAGCUUGAGUCUCGUAGAGGGGGGUAGAAUUCCAGGUGUAGCGGUGAAAUGCGUAGAGAUCUGGAGGAAUACCGGUGGCGAAGGCGGCCCCCUGGACGAAGACUGACGCUCAGGUGCGAAAGCGUGGGGAGCAAACAGGAUUAGAUACCCUGGUAGUCCACGCCGUAAACGAUGUCGACUUGGAGGUUGUGCCCUUGAGGCGUGGCUUCCGGAGCUAACGCGUUAAGUCGACCGCCUGGGGAGUACGGCCGCAAGGUUAAAACUCAAAUGAAUUGACGGGGGCCCGCACAAGCGGUGGAGCAUGCGGUUUAAUUCGAUGCAACGCGAAGAACCCUACCUGGUCUUGACAUCCACGGAAGUUUUCAGAGAUGAGAAUGUGCCUUCGGGAACCGUGAGACAGGUGCUGCAUGGCUGUCGUCAGCUCGUGUUGUGAAAUGUUGGGUUAAGUCCCGCAACGAGCGCAACCCUUAUCCUUUGUUGCCAGCGGUCCGGCCGGGAACUCAAAGGAGACUGCCAGUGAUAAACUGGAGGAAGGUGGGGAUGAUGUCAAGUCAUCAUGCCCCUUACGACCAGGGCUACACACGUGCUACAAUGGCGCAUACAAAGAGAAGCGACCUCGCGAGAGCAAGCGGACCUCAUAAAGUGCGUCGUAGUCCGGAUUGGAGUCUGCAACUCGACUCCAUGAAGUCGGAAUCGCUAGUAAUCGUGGAUCAGAAUGCCACGGUGAAUACGUUCCCGGGCCUUGUACACACCGCCCGUCACACCAUGGGAGUGGGUUGCAAAAGAAGUAGGUAGCUUAACCUUCGGGAGGGCGCUUACCACUUUGUGAUUCAUGACUGGGGUGAAGUCGGAACAAGGUAACCGUAGGGGAACCUGCGGUUG
rnacentral:rRNA from 1 species